rnacentral:rRNA from 1 species
UGAACGCUGGCGGCGUGCCUAAUACAUGCAAGUCGAGCGAACAGACGAGGAGCUUGCUCCUCUGACGUUAGCGGCGGACGGGUGAGUAACACGUGGAUAACCUACCUAUAAGACUGGGAUAACUUCGGGAAACCGGAGCUAAUACCGGAUAAUAUAUUGAACCGCAUGGUUCAAUAGUGAAAGACGGUUUUGCUGUCACUUAUAGAUGGAUCCGCGCCGCAUUAGCUAGUUGGUAAGGUAACGGCUUACCAAGGCAACGAUGCGUAGCCGACCUGAGAGGGUGAUCGGCCACACUGGAACUGAGACACGGUCCAGACUCCUACGGGAGGCAGCAGUAGGGAAUCUUCCGCAAUGGGCGAAAGCCUGACGGAGCAGCGCCGCGUGAGUGAUGAAGGUCUUCGGAUCGUAAAACUCUGUUAUUAGGGAAGAACAAAUGUGUAAGUAUCUAUGCACGUCUUGACGGUACCUAAUCAGAAAGCCACGGCUAACUACGU